rnacentral:rRNA from 1 species
CAGCAGCCGCGGGAAUACAGAGGGUGCGAGCGUUAAUCGGAUUUACUGGGCGUAAAGCGUGCGUAGGCGGCUUCUUAAGUCGGAUGUGAAAUCCCCGGGCUCAACCUGGGAACUGCAUCCAAAACUGGCAGGCUAGAGUAGGGCAGAGGGUGGUGGAAUUUCCUGUGUAGCGGUGAAAUGCGUAGAUAUAGGAAGGAACACCAGUGGCGAAGGCGACCACCUGGACUGAUACUGACACUGAGGUGCGAAAGCGUGGGGAGCAAACAGGAUUAGAUACCCCAGUAGUCCCUGUCUCUUAUAC